GGGGAUGCCCGGAUGUUUUGAUGUUUUUAUCAUCCUUGUGGGAGGCUUCUCUCAUGUCCCUGCAUGGAGCUGGAGCUGAUAGAGGGAGCUCAUCCGCACUCUUCCCCGGGUGGGAUUCGAACCUGGCAGCUUUCAGCAACCCAACCUUCAAGUCACUUAGCCCACUACGCUAUCUACACCUAAUUUGAUGUUUAAUAGGCUUUUCCUUAAUCCCUCCUUAUUAUCCAAGAUAUUCACUUAUCCAAGCUUCUGCCGGCCCAUUUAGCUUGGAUAAGUGAGACUCUGCUGUAAAGGUAAAGGAUUUCCCCUGACGUUAAGUCUAGUCAUGUCCAGCUCUGUAGUAGUCACCAAAUGCCAUGCAGUAGUCAUCAAAUAGAAUAAAUAAAGAGGAAGGAGGUUGGCAGACCGGAUUUUCGUUCCUGCAGCCCACUGCUGGGCUACGGCCCACAGGUUGGGAACCACUGGACUACACUCUGAGGCAGAGAGUUCCACUGUCGAACAGCUCUCACAGUCAGGAAGUUCUUCCUAAUGUUCAGGUGGAAUCUCCUUUCCUGUAGUUUGAAGCCAUUGUUCUAGUCUCCAGGGCAGCAGAAAACAAGCUUGCUCCCUCCUCCCUAUGACUUCCCCUCACAUAUUUGUACAUGGCUAUCAUGUCUCCUUUUAGCCUUCUCUUCUGCAGGCUAAACAUGCCCAGUUCUUUAAGCCGCUCCUCAUAGGGCUUGUUCUCCAGACCUUACAGCCAGGAAGUUCUUCCUAAUGUUCAAGUGGAACAUCCUUUCCUGUAAUUUGGUCCCAUUGCUUGGAGUGGGUAGUUAUGUUGAACUAGGACUAUAUUCUUGAAUUGAGUGUGGCUCUGUGUAUGCGAGAGAAAGAAACAGAGUGUACGCGAGAGUGAAACACACGCUCUGUGUGAGAGAGAAAGAGCGAGAGUGCGGGUGUGAGAAAGAGAGCCUGGGAGGGCUCCUCCGUCGGGCUGGGUUUGCCAGGGGCUGCAUGGGAGAAGCCUCCUCUCUUUCCUCCUCCUUGGCUUGGCUGGGAGUCUUGGGGGUCCCAGCUCCCUCGCGGCGCCCUCAAGUCCCACCUGCUGGCGGCGGCGGAGUGAGGCAAGCAAGGCCCCCCCCCUCGCCUUCUCCGUCCUCAGCUGAACCACAGGGCGCCCCUUCCCUCUCCCUUUCUUCCUCCUCAGUGGAGCGAACCGUGCCUCCUCCGCCUUGCCUCUCCAGCCUCGACUGCCCUGAGGACCCCCUCCCUCACCGCCCCUUCCUCCUCCUCCUCCUCCUCCUCUUCCCCAGAAGCGGAGGGAAACGAGGAGGAGGCGCUACUACUGCUGCUGCUGCUUCUGCCGCCGCCUUGGACUGCAAUGUGCUCCCCGCCGCAGCCCUGAAGGAGCCAUGCCGGGCUGGAAGAAGACCAUCCCCGUCUGCCUGCAAGCCGAGCAGGAGCGAGGUGAGGCCCACGCGAGGGGCGCCACUAGGUGUAUGUGGGGGGCUUUGGUGGCAAGAGUGGCGCCAAGAUAGAGGCAGGCCGCCUCCGCCUCCCCUCAGGUGCGCUCUGCCUCCCGGAGGCGGGGAAGCCGAGGAAGGGGGUUGCCCAGCCCACGCUCCCAGAGGCCUGGCCUCUCGGAGGCACAAAAGAGGCGCCCAGGUGCUGCUUCCAGUUGGGAGGCAACUUUUCCCCGCCUUUUCUUUUUUGGGAGGAUGUUGUCCAACUCUGCCCCUUCCCAGCCCCUCUCCAUGGGGUCUGGCUGUUCCUCCUGGUCUUCUCGGCGAAGUUUCUCGGUGA
ensembl:lncRNA